rnacentral:tRNA from 1 species
GGGUCGGUAGUUCAGUGGUAGAACAAUGGACUUUUAAUCCAUGUGUCGCGGGUUCGAUCCCCGCCCGACCCA